CUCCACCAUACCAGUAUUCACCCUCGAAUACCCCCCCCCCAUCACCUCAAAUAUUCUCCGAAAGGUCGUCGGAAAUCCUACCUCCCGCAAUCCUAUCCCAAAGUCCUUCAAAUUUACACCCCUAGGAAACCUCAAUCCCCUUGUUCCAACCAUGUAAAUCACUCCUCUCAAAUCAUCCUGAAACUCCUCGAAUUUCAAUUCAAAGGUUAACCCUAAAUCCCAAAACUUGCCAGAAACGCCUCAAACUUCUCCUAGUCAGUUCUUGGUCCCUUUUGACACCAACUACACUACUCAUGAGUCCCAAAACAACCCCAACCGCUGAAAAAUCCAAAUAUGAGACUUUAUUGAGGUCUCAGAACUGUGAAAGCCCCUCUUGAACCCUUAGAAUUGGUCGAACACUGUCCGAGGAGGUUCAGAACCCUGUAGAAAGGGUCAAAACCAGUUGAAAUGGUCUAAGCGGACAAGAAUAAAAAAGCUAAGUUUUCCUGUAUAUUUUCAUCUUUUUAGCUGAUUAAAUGCUUGAUUUCUUUUAUAUUACUGAUUAGGUUCAGUAGUUACAUGUUUAAUAGUUUGAAUUUCUUUUGGUUGUUUUUCUUGUUUAUCCGCAAGUUCAUCUGAAAAAGGUUUCAAUAUUCAUAUGCUUUAUUUGACACUAGUCUGGAAGUCUUUUCGUCUCUUGAAUAAUUUCCUGCUAAUAUCAGCUCAUUGGUUUUGAAAGCUAGUUAAUUAUUCAGUAAUAUGAUUUUUAGGGCUUAAUUGACAUCUAUCUUCUGAUUCUAUGAUUUCUGGUUCACCCUUAAGCAUUUGAUUGCCAUAAUGACUUUGGUUUUUCAGAAUUGAUGUUAGUUUAAGUUGAUUUGGGGGUCUGGACUUUUAGUUGUUCAUUGGUAGCCUUUACUUACUUCCUAAGGUGAUUCCUGAACGAAAUUGCUAUGUGUUUCUCGUUGUUAAGUAUUUCUGAAGCAUUUUGAUUGAGGCAUUUCUGAAAACUGAGUAUUGAUAGCUGUAUUCAUUUUUCUGGUUAUUUUGAUCUUUUAUUGUUAAUCCUGUAUAAUGUUUGUAGAAAUCUGUUAAUUUUGGCUGUUGGAACUUUCAUGAGCUUAUUAGUGACCCAAGUUUGAUUGACCAGGGUCAAUUAUGACUAAACUAAGGUCAAGGAUUUGACUAAGGUCAAAAUUCAGGGUUGGGGGUAAUUGGGAAAGAAAGUGAGGGUAUAAGAGGAAUUUGAACCUGUAAAAUAUUUGAUAGAAAGCCCUUAGAACCUUCUAGCAAGGACUAAAACAUAAUUCUUGCCUAAAACUUGAGGCACAAGUUAGGAAUUGAAGGACUACUUAGGCAAAGUAUAAAUUUGAGUUAAGGACUAAAAAGAAAACAAGGCAAAAUCUGAUGCCCUAAAAGCUUUACUAUAAAUGAAUCAGCUGGGCAUUGAAAAGGGGAUCCGGAAACCUUCUCUUUGAAUACUAAAGCUGAAAUACUUAUUCCUAUAUCUGAAAAUACUAGUAGUACUGUUUUGAAUCAUUUUUCAGAAGAUUUAACUCUCUAAAAAUUCUGCAAAAGUCUGGAUACACUGUUUGAUUGGCUGUUGAUUACUUAGCUGGUCUCUUAUAUUUACUCAUAGGCUCCUGUUUUACUUGAAUUACAGGUACAUUUCCUUUUUCAUUUGAUACAUUGAAGUUCAAGUAUAAAAUAUUCGUGAAUGUGCAAAUUUGAGUUCCACUGUAUCAUUCUAAACUAUUUCCCUGUUUCCCCUAGUUCAGUUGGGAUAUAGUUGUAGUGAUAAGGUAGUCAUUAUAUUGUAACUAAAGUUGGACUAUCUCAUUCUGUAAUAAUUGGACUUUAGAGACUGGUUUGUUUGUAAUAACUGGACAUUCAAUUUAUUUUUAGUAUGAACUAUCAGUAGUGCUGAUAGUUA
rnacentral:lncRNA from 1 species